GAUGAAGAACGUAGCGAAAUGCGAUACUUGGUGUGAAUUGCAGAAUCCCGUGAACCAUCGAGUCUUUGAACGCAAGUUGCGCCCGAAGCCAUCAGGUUGAGGGCACGUCUGCCUGGGCGUCACAUAUCGUUGCCCAAUGCCUAUUGCAGUGCAAUAGGAAUUUCUAGGGCGAAUGAUGGCUUCCCGUGAGCGUUGUUGCCUCGCGGUUGGUUGAAAAUCGAGUCCUUGGUAGGGUGUGCCAUGGUAGAUGGUGGUCGAGUUAGAACGAUACCGAUCAUGUGCAUGCUCCCCAAAAUAUGGCCUCUAUGACCCACACGCGCCUUUUGACGCUCAUGACGAGACCUCAGGUCAGGCGGGGCUACCCGCUGAAUUUAAGCAUAUCAAUAAGCGGAGGA
rnacentral:misc_RNA from 1 species